rnacentral:ribozyme from 1 species
ACAGAAAGAAGAAAAUAAAAAAAAAAAAGAAAGAGAUAAAAAAUAAGCGAAAGGAGGAGAGGACAGUUUGAGUAGGGCUUUGCACACUAUUACUAUUUUCAGCCCUUUCUGUUUUCUUUUGUCAUUUUUGGUGUAAUCAUGGCGGAAAUGCCAGCUACCAUCUCUGCUGAGCUUGUGAAAGAGCUGAAAGGAUCGACUGAACUGCC